UGUGACCUCAAAUCCAGGUA
rnacentral:rRNA from 1 species